GUUAUCAGCACAGCAGCAAAGCCCUCUUUAUACUAAAACUGCUAUGGGGGAGAUCAGGUCCCUUCUGAUUUAACAAAGACUGGAUUCUAGGUGAAAGCCACAUGACUUCAGAUCAGUAUAGAAAUGUUUUCCAAGGCGGGAACUGACACUAUGAAAAGGGGGACAAACACCCUAAGGUACCCCCACUUCUUCCUCUCUCUGUCCAUUGAUUCACUACACCAGAAGGAAGAAAGGAAGCAACCAUUAAAGAGGAGCAGAGGUCCAAAUCUAAGGACUGCUCAGAGCUUGUGGAAUAAAAGUAGUAGAAGAACUGAAAGUAGUUGAAGGAGGAAGUCGGGCCUAAGCAAGGGGAGAAACAUCAGCUAUUACAAUAUAUACAAAUAUUCCAGCAAAGUGAAGUUCUGACUGUGGUC